UUGGCGGGGUAACGGCCCACCAAGGCAGCGACGGGUAGCUGGUGUGAGAGCAUGACCAGCCACACUGGGACUGAGACACGGCCCAGACUCCUACGGGAGGCAGCAGUGGGGAAUCUUGCGCAAUGGGCGAAAGCCUGACGCAGCGACGCCGCGUGAGGGAUGAAGGCCUUCGGGUUGUAAACCUCUUUCAGCGGGGACGAAGCGAAAGUGACGGUACCCGCAGAAGAAGCCCCGGCCAACUACGUGCCAGCAGCCGCGGUAAUACGUAGGGGGCUAGCGUUGUCCGGAUUUAUUGGGCGUAAAGAGCUCGUAGGCGGCUUUGUAAGUCGGACGUGAAAUCCCACGGCUUAACUGUGGGGCGCCGUUCGAUACUGCGAGGCUAGAGGCCGGUAGGGGGACGUGGAAUUCCUGGUGUAGCGGUGAAAUGCGCAGAUAUCAGGAGGAACACCGGUGGCGAAGGCGGCGUCCUGGGCCGGUCCUGACGCUGAGGAGCGAAAGCUGGGGGAGCAAACAGGAUUAGAUACCCUGGUAGUCCCAGCCGUAAACGAUGGGUGCUAGGUGUGGGAGGCUAUCGACGCUUUCCGUGCCGCAGCUAACGCAUUAAGCACCCCGCCUGGGGAGUACGGGCGGCCUAUCAGCUUGUUGGUGGGGUGAUGGCCUACCAAGGCGACGACGGGUAGCCGGCCCGAGAGGGUGUCCGGCCACACUG
rnacentral:rRNA from 1 species